rnacentral:rRNA from 1 species
UCGGGAAUUUUGGGCAAUGGGCGAAAGCCUGACCCAGCAACGCCGCGUGAAGCAUGAAGUAUUUCGGUAUGUAAACUUCGAAAGAAUAGGAAGAAUAAAUGACGGUACUAUUUAUAAGGUCCGGCUAACUACGUGCCAGCAGCCGCGGUAAUACGUAGGGACCAAGCGUUGUUCGGAUUUACUGGGCGUAAAGGGCGCGUAGGCGGCAUGACAAGUCACUUGUGAAAUCUCUGGGCUUAACCCAGAACGGCCAAGUGAUACUGUCGCGCUAGAGUGCAGAAGGGGCAAUCGGAAUUCUUGGUGUAGCGGUGAAAUGCGUAGAUAUCAAGAGGAACACCUGAGGUGAAGACGGGUUGCUGGGCCGACACUGACGCUGAGGCGCGAAAGCCAGGGGAGCAAACGGGAUUAGAUACCCCAGUAGUCCCUGAGCGGGCUGGCAAGGCGCAU